CCUACGGGAGGCAGCAGUAGGGAAUCUUCCACAAUGGGCGCAAGCCUGAUGGAGCAACACCGCGUGAGGGAAGAAGGGUUUCUGCGCGUAAAGCUCUGUUGUUGGGGAAGAACGUGCGUGCGAGUAACUGUUCACGCAUUGACGGUAUCCAACCAGACAGUCACGGCUAACUACGUGCCAGCAGCCGCGGUAAUACGUAGGUGGCAAGCGUUAUCCGGAUUUAUUGGGCGUAAAGUGAGCGUAGGCGGUUGCUUAGGUCUGAUGUGAAAGCCUUCGGCUUAACCGAAGAAGUGCAUCUGAAACCGGGAGACUUGAGUGCAGAAGAGGACAGUGGAAAUCGAUGUGUAGCGGUGGAAUGCGUAGAUAUAUGGAAGAACACCAGUGGCGAAGGCGGCUGUCUGGGCUGCAACUGACGCUGAGGCUCGAAAGCAUGGGUAGCGAACGGGAUUAGAUACCCUAGUAGUC
rnacentral:rRNA from 1 species